GACGAACGCUGGCGGCGUGCUUAACACAUGCAAGUCGAACGGAAAGGCCCUCGGGGUACGUCGAGUGGCGAACGGGUGAGUAACACGUGGGCAACCUGCCCUCAGCUUCGGGAUAACACUUGGAAACAGGUGCUAAUACCGGAUAAUAACUUGUCAUCGCAUGGUGGUGGGUUCAAAGUUUUUCGGUCUGAGGAUGGGCCCGCGGCCUAUCAGCUUGUUGGUGGGGUAAUGGCCUACCAAGGCGACGACGGGUAGCCGGCCUGAGAGGGCGACCGGCCACACUGGGACUGA
rnacentral:rRNA from 1 species